UCUUUUGCUGCAGAUGCUAUGCCCGUUUGCACCCUCGUGCUGUCAACUGCAGGAAAAAGAAGUGUGGCCAUAGCAACCAGUUGAGGCCAAAAAAGAAGAUCAAGUAAACAGGUGGUUGCAUUUGCUGUCAAGACGAUUUAUAAUUUGGCACUUUUUUGUUUUUUAUUUGCUUGUUGACUUUGGUCUGUCCUUCGGCGUCUGUUUCACUAUAUACAUAAAUUGUAAAAUUUUACCCGUUUGCUUUACUUUUUAAUCUACUUAACUGAGUUUGAUCGACUGCAAAAUAGUUGGUUAGUUCAAGCCAUAUGCUUUGAAGCUCG